rnacentral:miRNA from 1 species
AGCUACCCGCGUGGCCGGAGUGUUU